GCCGGGCAUGGUGACGUGUGCCUGUAAUCCCAGCUACUCGGGAGGCUGAGGCAGGAGAAUCGCUUGAUCCCAGGAGGCGGAGGUUGCAGUGAGCCAAGAUGGCGCCAUUGCACUCCAGCCUGGGCAUCGCAGCGAGACCCCGUCUCAAAAAAAAAAAAAAAAGGAGCUGGGGUCUCGUUCUGUCACCCAGGCUGGAGUGCAGUGGCACAGUCAUGGCUCACUGCAACCUCAACCUCCUGGGCUCGAGCAGUCCUCCUUCCUCAG
rnacentral:SRP_RNA from 2 species